GCGCGGCGGGCGCGCUCCCGAGGCUGCGUGCGUGCAGCCGGCGCCAGCGUGCGCGGCGUGGGCUCCACCCCCCUCGGGCCUGUCCUCAAGGCCGCCGGCCCCCGGGUUCGCGCCAAGUCGACGCUGGGCGCGAGCGAUGCUGCCCGACCCGCCUCGGCCUUGAGGCGGGAGCGGCGAGCCGACCCCUCAGCUUGCCGACGGUGCGGAGCCCGCAGCCAUGUCCGCGGGGUUCUCCUUCGGGAGCGGCACGCUGGGCUCCUCCACCGUGGCCGCCGGCGGGAGCGGCACGGGCGGCGGUUUCUCCUUCGGGACCGCGGCGUCUAGCAACCCGUCUGCGGGGCUCAGUUUCGGAACUCUGGGGAGCACCUCGACUCCAGCGACGACGUCGGCUCCUUCCGGGGGCUUUGGAACCGGGCUCUUUGGAUCCAAACCUGCCACUGGGUUCACUCUGGGAGGAACAAGCACAGGUGCACCAGCUACCACGACCGCGUCGACGACGGGCUUCAGUCUGGGCUUCAGUAAACCCGCGGCCUCCGCCACGCCCUUCUCGCUGCUCACCUCUACCUCGGCCGGCAGCCUCUCUCUCUCCUCUGCGCUGACGUCGACCCCGGCCGCAUCCACAGGAUUUACUCUCAAUAACUUGAGUGGAACCACAGCUACGACGACCACUGCGUCCACAGGCCUUUCUUUAGGGGGAGCCUUGGCUGGUCUGGGAGGUUCACUUUUCCAGAAUACAAACACAGCAGCAUCAGGCCUUGGACAGAAUGCUUUGGGCCUGACCCUGGGAACCACGGCAGCUACUUCGACUGCAGGCAACGAAGGCCUCGGCGGCAUCGACUUCAGUAGCUCAUCAGAUAAAAAGAGUGAUAAAACAGGAACAAGACCAGAGGACAGCAAAGCGCUCAAGGAUGAGAGUCUGCCUCCUGUCAUCUGCCAGGACGUCGACAACCUGCAGAAAUUUGUGAAGGAACAAAAACAGGUGCAAGAAGAAAUUAGUAGAAUGUCUUCAAAAGCGAUGCUCAAGGUGCAAGAAGAUAUUAAAGCCCUGAAGCAGCUCUUGUCGUUGGCUGCCAGUGGGCUGCAGAGAAACACCCUCAGCAUCGACAAGCUGAAAAUAGAGACCGCUCAGGAGUUAAAAAAUGCUGAAAUAGCUUUAAGGACUCAGAAAACACCACCUGGACUCCAACAUGAAAAUACAGCUCCUGCUGACUACUUCCGAGUCUUGGUGCAGCAGUUUGAAGUGCAGCUCCAGCAGUACAGGCAGCAGAUUGAGGAACUGGAGAACCACCUCGCCAGCCAGGCCAGCAGCUCACAUAUCACCCCGCAAGAUUUGUCAAUGGCUAUGCAGAAAAUUUAUCAAACCUUUGUAGCUUUAGCUGCACAGCUUCAGUCUGUUCAUGAAAACGUGAAGGUGCUCAAGGAACAGUACCUUGGCUACAGGAAGAUGUUCUUGGGAGACGCUGUGGAUGUGUUUGAAGCCAGGAGGGCAGAAGCCAAGAAGUGGCAGAGUGCGCCCAGAGUCACCACUGGACCCACCCCUUUCAGCAACAUGCCAAACGCAGCAGCCGUUGCCAUGGCUGCAACACUUACCCAGCAGCAACAGCCUGCUACAGGGCCACAGCCACCUCUGGGAGUUAGUUUUGGAGCGCCAUUCGGCUCAGGUAUUGGCACUGGCCUGCAGUCACGUGGCCUAGGUUCUUCAAACCUUGGAGGUACACUUUCACUUUUCUCUGUUGAUUGGACUCUGAUACAUUUGAAUUGCUACCAGCCUGUCAAAACUUCUAGGAGGAUCUGCUCUUCUGGAAGUCAAGGUUCUGCCUGGACAAAAAGGACUCUCCAGGCAUCCUCCGUGCAUUCUAGUAGUAGAUGUAGAACUUGAGAAACCGUACUGUCUCCGGUGAACAGUCCCUAUGAAAAGGUAGUAAAACUAAAUGGUCGGGGUGUUCACAUUUUCAGAGCAGUGGUGCUUAGCUGUGAACUCGAAAGCGACUUCGUUUUAUUAAAUGAACUUAAAAGAAAAUUAGUCGGAGUCGAAACUGCUUCUGGACAGUCAUCCUCCUAAUCCUCCUCUUUUUCUGAAAGCGAACACAUCAAGGGGGGAAAUAAUUGCAUUAGAAACGAAACGGCACGGCUUCUGCUCGUUGCUAAGCACUUGGGGCCUGGUCUCCGUAAGCGGUGAGGUUUAUUUCGAUAGUUUCGUGCAUUAAAUUAGGAAAAAGGUAAGUCUUCUGCCGAAACGUCAGGCUAAAUACAGAUGGAUUCCCGAUUCUCUGGGUUGGAUAAUUGAGGGUUGAUUGUGUUUUGACAGGUGCCUUGUCACGCAGUGAAUAGGAUUCCUCUGUUUCUGUUAAAAUAUGUCAUCGCCAUAAGGGGGAAGCCUGCACGCUAUUACGGUUACUUAACUUAUUAGACUCUGCUGGGAAUCCCUGGGAUUGAGGCAGCCAGCAUCAUUCCUAUGGUCUAUAACCCCCUUUGUUGCCCUGUUUCGUAGAGCUGCAGGCAGUAAUACCGUGACCUCAAUAUUUGAGAGAAGCUCUUGCCAAGUAGCCUAAGAAAAAUUUGAACUUCAUUUUUAGAGCCCUUGAAACAAGUCUCAGGUCCUUAAGAGAACCUCCUCUUGAAAUGAUUUGGAACUAGCUCUGGUUUUGGAUGCAGCACCACAGGGGCGUCCACAUUUGGAUUCGGAACAACCAAUAAACCCUCAGGAAGUCUUAGCGCAGGCUUUGGCAGCUCCAGUACAUCUGGGUUUAACUUCAGCAAUCCUGGCAUCACGGCGUCGGCUGGUUUGACAUUUGGGGUGUCCAAUCCUGCCUCUGCAGGCUUUGGGACGGGAGGACAGCUCCUUCAGUUGAAGAAACCCCCAGCUGGAAACAAAAGAGGAAAGAGAUAAACGUGGGUUGACGUGGUGCGAGGAUCUGUAGCAUCAUUCGUUCUCUGAGUCUAUUUUUCUAAAGUUGAUGCAGUCAUUAAUUUGCAUCCCAGGAGAUUUAUAAAGUUUUGAUAUUUUUCCUUACUUCUGGAAUUUGAACUUUGUUCUUGUUAGCCGUGCUAAACAACUUUUUUUCCUGUGAAUUUGAAACCUAGUUGUGAAUUUUUUCGUUACUUUGAUUCUCAGUGUAAGAAAGUUCUGAUACAUCGCUGAUGGGAAAAAACGACUACUGUUUAAGCGUGUGGGAGAGCAGUGUUUGUGCCGACGAGGUUUACAUUAUGUGAAUUAUGCACACUUGUUGCUUACAGAGACGGUUCGAACUCCAGGGCCUGUCCUAGAAUCAGUUUGUUCCCUGAUAGAGGCCUUUUGAACUGCACUGCAGGGCAUCUUGUGAAUAUGUAUGUAAACUGUAUACAGGAUCACACCCAGCUGUGUGUGUGCAUAGAAAAUACAUAUUUACAGACCUACAGCUUCCGCCUCAGACUGUUGCCCUUUUUCUAAGGGUAUUCUGUUUCUCACCUUUUGUGCUUCAGACCCUCAGUGCUGGUAGAAUGAGGAGCUCAGAGGUGCCAGGUCAUUGUAGCUGUUUGCUUAAAGAGUUAGUGAAAUGGUUGCCAGUGUAAAUAUUUGACCAGCUCAACUUCACUGCCCCCAGUCUUUCCCAUGUUUGUUUCCACUCGAACCUUCAGCAGCUCCUGCAAACGAGGGGGGCUGCUGUAAGACCCCUCAGACAGCUUUCAACAACCCCAUUCUCCCAGCAGCCCUCAUCUUGUCCAUAGGAGCCGUGUUUUCAUAGCCGAGAUGAACCCUCCAGCGCAGGUUUGAGCUCCAGGCUGGUGCGCUGGGGGCAAAGAGCUAUUAAGCCAAAUCGAUUCUAUGCAGGUGAAGGAUAUGCACUGUUAGGUGAGUGGCAACUUCUCGCUGUUCCAACACAGAGUUCUUUCUUAUAGGGCUAUUGCUACUGACACCAGAGGUGGGGGCUUAUCAGCCUCUUUCCUUUAUGUCUUAAGUAAGUGCUUAAUUUGGAAUAGAGAAACAAUAUAUUUUAAGAAAAGACAAUAUUCUUUGUAGUAACAGUAAACGAUCCCCUGUCUUAACAGUGAAGAGAGAGCUCCAGGUAAGAACACGUAGACAUGUCAGGUGGCCUCUGUGAUGCUCGUACGAGUAGUGGCCCAGAGAGCAGGUGAAAAGGUGAGCGCGCCAGUGGGAGAACUGCCUUAGCCAUGACUUCGGACGGAAACCGUCAGGUCGACCUAUUUAUCUUUCAAGUAUAGUCUUCAGGUGGCAUGUGAAGAUGGAAUGUCAUUGAAAAUAAUUUAAUUUUUUUAUAUCGAAGGUUUUGUACAUAAUGUGCAUCAAGUGAAUAUUUUCAGAAUCAUUUUCACCAAGGCACCUUUUUUUCUAAAAUAGGUAUUACAUAUAUAUAUAUAAAUAUAUCUACACACACACACACACACAAACACAUAUAUUUUUAGCAUAAUGUAAGUUGGGUUUGAUUAUAGAAGUGUUGUCCAGUCUGUUUUAUUUAUCUGCACAUAGCGAUGAUUGGCUUUUGGAACUGAAAUGUUUGCACCUCGAUGCAUUAAAAUGAGGAAAAUGCUUUGUUUCUGA